UUGUAGGCUAGCUCUUGGAAUUUUAAUCAGUGCUAGAGACAUCACUUGAAUACAAUCUUGGUAAUACAUAGCCAUCAUCACCUCAAUGACUCCAACCUUAUAGUACAAAAUUAUGGGGAGAAAACUAAGAAAGAUUCACCUUUUUUCAGUAACAACACAUACUAAGGACAAAAAUCAUCCUUACUACAAUUAUUGGUCCAAAAGUAUUAUUGGAUGUUAUAAAGUCACUGCUCUAUUCUUGUUUAUGUGACCAUCUAGCUGUACUAUGGAAAGCAAGAAAUUGUUGUUGGUAAUAGUUUUGUCUAUGCUUUUAGUUUUAGAAAGAGGGGCGUCGACGACAGUAACUUAUGAUCACAAGGCAUUGGUUAUUGAUGGAAAGAGGAGAAUUUUGCAAUCAGGAUCAAUACAUUAUCCAAGAACUACACCUGAGAUAUGGCCAGAGAUCAUUAGAAAGGCUAAGGAAGGCGGAUUGGAUGUGAUAGAGAGUUAUGUUUUCUGGAAUUAUCAUGAACCUGUCAAAGGAGAGUACUACUUCGAAGGCAGGUUUGACCUUGUACGGUUUGUGAAGACAGUACAAGAAGCUGGCUUAUACGUGCAUCUCCGAAUCGGUCCAUAUGCCUGUGCUGAAUGGAACUAUGGGGGCUUCCCUAUGUGGCUACAUUUUAUCCCUGGAAUACAGUUUCGAACAACAAAUGAGCUUUUUAAGGAAAGUAAUGAAAUGAAACUCUUUCUCGCCAAGAUUGUUAAUCUUAUGAAGGAAGAGAACCUCUUCGCUACACAAGGAGGUCCAAUUAUACUCGCUCAGGUAGAAAAUGAGUAUGGAAAUGUUGAGUGGGCAUAUGGAAUCAGUGGAGAGCUAUAUGUAAAAUGGGCUGCAGAAACUGCUGUUAAUCUUAAUACGACUGUCCCUUGGGUGAUGUGUGCACAAGAAGAUGCACCUGAUUCAGUUAUAAACACAUGUAAUGGAUUCUAUUGUGAUCGCUUCACACCAAAUUCCCCAACCAAGCCAAAGAUGUGGACAGAAAACUACGUUGGAUGGUUCCUUGCAUUUGGUUAUCCUGUUCCUUAUCGACCUGUUGAAGACUUAGCUUUUGCUGUUGCACAUUUUUUUGAAACUGGUGGUACAUUUCAAAAUUAUUACAUGUAUUUUGGUGGCACCAAUUUUGGUCGAACAGCCGGAGGUCCUCUAGUAGCAACAAGCUACGACUAUGAUGCCCCCAUAGAUGAGUAUGGUUUCAUAAGUCAGCCAAAGUGGGGCCACCUACGCGACUUACACAGGGCGAUAAAACACUGUGAAGAGUAUUUGGUCAAUGCAGAUCCAACUCAUUUGUCCCUUGGUCUGAAACUUGAGGCACAUGUAUAUUACAAAAGCUCCAAUGACUGUGCAGCUUUCCUUGCUAACUAUGGUAACAGUUCAGAUGCAAAUGUUACAUUUAAUGGGAAGUCAUAUUUUCUUCCUGCUUGGUCUGUUAGCAUCCUUCCAGACUGUAAGAAUGUCAUAUUCAACACGGCGAAGGUUGUUUCACAAAAAACGACAGGAAGUACAGCAUUUACUCACAACACAGUCACAAUUGAAAAUUCGAUGGAGUCAGAUCCUUGGGGCUGGUACAAAGAAAAAAUUGGUAUCGCAAAUAAUCAUUCAUUUGCAUCACCCCACAUACUAGAGCAGAUAAAUACAACAAAGGAUACCAGUGAUUUCCUUUGGUAUACAACAAGUAUAAAUGUGGAGGAGAACAUUAAGAAAAGAAGAGCAAAAGAACUGCAGUUAAUUAUUGGAAGUUUAGGACAUGCAGCUCUUGUUUUUGUAAACAAGAAACCAGUAGGAUUCGGCUAUGGUAAUCACGAUGAUGCAAGCUUUGUGCUAAGUAAAAAACUCCAUCUUAAGAAAGGAAGCAAUACAGUGGACAUAUUGAGCAUGAUGGUUGGUUUGCAGAACUAUGGACCAUGGUUUGACAUCUCUGGAGCAGGGGUAUCUUCUGUUAUCUUCAGCGAUUUGAAGAAUUCCAAGAAUUUUUCUUCUACAGAAUGGAUCUACCAGGUAGGACUAGAAGGUGAGUAUCUUGGACUUGAUAAAGUUAGUCUUGCAAAUAGUUCACUGUGGAUUCAGGGGAGUUCUGUCCCAACAAAUCAGAGUUUGAUAUGGUACAAGACUAGCUUUUCUCCUCCAGAAGGAAGAGGCCCUGUUUCGCUAAAUCUGUCCAGUAUGGGUAAAGGUCAGGCAUGGGUAAAUGGAGAGCAUAUAGGGAGAUACUGGUCUUCUUAUCGUUCACCCUCAACAGGCUGUUCUGAUAAUUGUGACUACAGAGGAGCUUAUGAUUCAUGGAAAUGUUUGAAGAAAUGUGGUCAACCUGCUCAAGUGUUGUACCAUGUACCGCGCAGUUGGUUAAAGCCUGGAAAGAACCUGCUUGUGCUACAUGAAGAGCUUGGUGGUGACCCUUCAAAGAUAUCUUUCUCAACGCGAUCUGGGCAAAAAAUUUGUGCUCAUGUAUCUGAGUCAGAUCCUCCACCUGUUGAUACUUGGAAGCCAAACAAAGAUCUUACGUCUCAAAAACCUUUAUUGCAACUGAAUUGUGAUCAAGGAUGGACUAUCGCUGCAGUUAACUUUGCUAGCUUUGGAACUCCUACAGGAGAUUGUGGAGCAUUCAUUAAAGGGAGUUGCCAUUUGGAUGUGUUAUCCAUAGUUCAUCAGGGGUGUGUUGGCAACUCAGGAUGUUCCAUUCCUAUCACCAUGGCUAAACUUGGUGACCCAUGUCCUGGAGUACCAAAAAGUCUGGCUGUUGAAGCUUUUUGCAGUGUUUGAAUCAUCAAAUUCUAUGGUCCUGGUAGGAGGUGUAAUCAUUGGCUUAGUGCGGUAACCUUCUUUGUCAAAUUUUCUGCUUCUAGCAAUCAAAGGUACUGGUCUUUAUUUUAACCAGAGCCAGCUUGAGUGUGCAACUUGUCAUCUAUGGCACUUCAGUACAGCCCUAGUCUUGAUGAUCCAAAAGAGUAUUAUAAGGCAACCUUUGCUCUUUUUUCAGCUCUGUGUUCAUUUGCUUUUGUUCUGUUACUGGAAUGACAUGCAAAUUCAUUCUGCA